CCAUAGCUCAAUUGGAUAGAGCGUUUGACUACGGAUCAAGAGGUUGAGGGUUCAAGUCCUUCUGGGC
rnacentral:tRNA from 2 species